AACGCGAAGAACCUUACCUACUCUUGACAUCCACGGAAUUCGCUAGAGAUAGCUUAGUGCCUUCGGGAACCGUGAGACAGGUGCUGCAUGGCUGUCGUCAGCUCGUGUUGUGAAAUGUUGGGUUAAGUCCCGCAACGAGCGCAACCCUUAUCCUUUGUUGCCAGCACGUAAUGGUGGGAACUCAAAGGAGACUGCCGGUGAUAAACCGGAGGAAGGUGGGGAUGACGUCAAGUCAUCAUGGCCCUUACGAGUAGGGCUACACACGUGCUACAAUGGCAUAUACAAAGAGAAGCGAACUCGCGAGAGCAAGCGGACCUCAUAAAGUAUGUCGUAGUCCGGAUUGGAGUCUGCAACUCGACUCCAUGAAGUCGGAAUCGCUAGUAAUCGUAGAUCAGAAUGCUACGGUGAAUACGUUCCCGGGUCUUGUACACACGC
rnacentral:rRNA from 1 species